rnacentral:piRNA from 1 species
UCCACAGAGCGUGCCAGGAAGAUGUC